AUUGAACGCUGGCGGCGGGCCUAACACAUGCAAGUCGGGCGCGCGGCGGACGGGUGAGUAAUGUAGGGGGAUCUGGCUGAUGGAGGGGGCUAACUACUGGAAACGGUAGCUAAUGCCGCAUACCAUCCGAUGAACCCAUAGGGGAUUAGCUUGUAGGUGAGGUAACGGUUCACCUAGGCGACGCGCCCUAGCUGGUCUGAGAGGAUGAGCAGCCAAACUGGAACUGAGACACGGCCCAGACUCCGACGUGAGGCAGCAGGAGGGAAUAUUGUACAAUGGGCGCAAGCCUGAUGCAGCCAUGCCGCGUGUAUGAAGAAGGUCUUCUGUUUGUAAAGGUCUUUCAUUCGGGAGGCGUUACCUACCGAAAAAGCACCGGCUAACGCCGUGCCAGCAGCCGCGGUAAUAC
rnacentral:rRNA from 1 species